UACGGAGGGGGCGAGCGUUAAUCGGAAUUACUGGGCGUAAAGCGUGCGCAGGCGGUCUUUUAAGUCAGAUGUGAAAUCCCCGGGCUUAACCUGGGAACUGCGUUUGAAACUGGAAGGCUUGAGUGUGGCAGAGGGGGGUGGAAUUCCACGUGUAGCAGUGAAAUGCGUAGAUAUGUGGAGGAACACCGAUGGCGAAGGCAGCCCCCUGGGCUAACACUGACGCUCAUGCACGAAAGCGUGGGGAGCAAACAGG
rnacentral:rRNA from 1 species